ensembl:lncRNA
AUAGCAUUGGUUCUAUAUUAUUAUUAUAAGAAAUUGGAAUUUAGUGUCUACUCUGCAAGGAUGGCUUAUUUGCAUAUACCUUUUAUUGCAUGUUCCUCACUAGGCAUUUUAUUCAUGUAUUGACAUGAUUUGGUAGUAGCUGAGAACCUGAAACUUGGAUUAUAUAUUUGUAUCUUUUUAUUUUUUUAAGCCAAGCAAUGCAGCUUUGGUCAGAUCUAAAUUGUGUGAAGAUAGGCUUUAAAAGCCUAUGGUAUUGUGUUUGUAACACUGAUAUUUAAUGGAAAAUAGUUUAGGAAAUGGAGUCUUCUGCAGGGGUUUUAUAUACUUCUCAUGUUGAAAGAGAUUUUCCAUCACUUGAUGUGAAUUAGGCACUUUUAGAAAACUCCUGAAAAAGAAUUACUUUUCUUGAUCUGCAGACCGGGUACAGUACAAUUACCAUUACCUUACAGUAACUUGAUUAGCCAUAUGUGUAUUUCAAGUCGUGUUUGUUUGCUCCUCCCCUGUGCCUUUCCAGUUCCGGCUCCAUUUUGAAGACCUGCAGAUCAUGAGAAAACAGGAAAGGAAGUGAUGUGGGGGUCAGUUUCCUGAACUGUGUAAUUUGCUGAGAAGAGCUUACAGCCAUUGCUUAUGACAAGGACAGAACCUCACUGCUCAGUUUCUUUCCUGUCUCUUCCUAACCUUAUAAACACCAGGGUUAGUGGAUGAUUAACUCAUAGCAAGCAGUGGCUCUCGUUUUUAUAGGACUAGGUCCUGGCUUCCAUAUCACUAGCUAUUGCCUUGUAUACUCUGCUCCAGCUACACUGUACCUGUGCUAGGCCCUAGCCACACCAUAUUCCUACACUACUUCCUGUCUGUAGCCAUGUGACCUCUGCCUGGAAGCCUUCUUUUUCCUUGAUACUUUCUCCCUGCCAAACUCAUUUCUCCUUAAGCCAUUCAUUGACCUCUCUCCGCUGCACCCUUGCCAAAACUUAAGAAGGGAUGAAUCCACCUUUUCUACUCCAUGGCCCAAUGUUCAUUCCUUGAUCAUGCCAUGUAUCAUAGCACACUUUAGGUAGACAUAGUUGAGGUUUGUCUCACCAGGCUGCAGGCACUUCAGGGGCAGGGACCUUGUCUUACAAAUUUUUAUUUCCACAGUGCAUGAAACAUAGUAGAAACUAAACUUUGGAAUUGUGGGGAUAAUUUGUAUCAAAUGUCUUUUUGAAUUAAGAGAUUUAGUUAUGUUUACUAAGAAUGUAAAGUUUGAAUUGGUUUACAUUUGGCAGUUGGAACAGUUUAUUGAUGUCAGUUUUAAAUGUAGAGGUAUAAUGUUAAAUUAUUUUAUAUUUUCUGGAAACUGAGUGAAAUGUUUGAUAAAAUGCUGCCAUUGUUCUCUGAUAAUUCCACUGUCCGGAAUUAUGUACUGUAACCGCCUGGAUGUAAAUGUGAGGAAUACAGCUCAUUGCUGUGUCAGUGGUGCCUGAGGGCAGCCACAGCCACCCGUGACCUCACUCCCAUUGCUCCUUGUGACACUCGUCUUUCUUCUCCCCUCUGAAGCCCAUGCUUAGGCCUACCUCAGCACCGCUUUCCUUGUCUUCCUUCUGCGUUCAGCUCAGGUGCCACCUCUUCCAAAAAACAUUCCUCAGCUCAUGAUGCAAACAAGUACAGACAGCCUCUAAAUCUUACCAGUUUUAUUUUCAGCCUGGGUUAUAAACCCAGACAAGUUAACUGACUUACUGGGUUGGGACUAGAACUGGGCUUUGUGACUCCUAAACCCGUGUUCUUAUACAAUGCUGCCUUCUGAAUUUUUGUGGCAUUCUUUAGCAUAUGCUUUCUUGUAGUCCCACUUUUUAUGUGCCUGUUAUAUUUCCCUAAUAAGAUUGUAAGCCCCUUAAGGGCAAGGACUUCAUUGCAUUUCUAGCACUGCCAUAGUGUUCUAUACUUAGUUAUGAACUAGAUAAAUAAAUGGUGGUGAAUAC